UACAGAGGUCUCAAGCGUUGUUCGGAUUCAUUGGGCGUAAAGGGUGCGUAGGCGGCGCGGUAAGUCGGGUGUGAAAUCUUGGAGCUUAACUCCGAAACUGCAUUCGAUACUGCCGUGCUUGAGGACUGGAGAGGAGACUGGAAUUUACGGUGUAGCGGUGAAAUGCGUAGAUAUCGUAAGGAAGACCAGUGGCGAAGGCGGGUCUCUGGUCCGGUACUGACGCUGAGGUGCGAAAGCGUGGGGAGCAAACAGG
rnacentral:rRNA from 1 species